AUUGAACGCUGGCGGCAGGCCUAACACAUGCAAGUCGAACGGUAACAGGAAGAAGCUUGCUUCUUUGCUGACGAGUGGCGGACGGGUGAGUAAUGUCUGGGAAACUGCCUGAUGGAGGGGGAUAACUACUGGAAACGGUAGCUAAUACCGCAUAACGUCUCAAGACCAAAGAGGGGGACCUUCGUGCCUCGUGCCAUCGUAGGUGCCCAGGUGGGCUUAGUUAGUAGGUGGGGUAAGGACUCACCUAGGCGACGAGCCCUAGAUGGUCUGAGAGGGUGAGCGGCCGCACUGGAACGUGGACAGGGUCCAGACUCCUGCGGGAGGCAGCAGUGGGGAAUAUUGCGCAAUGGUCGCAAGCAUGAUGCAGCCAUGCCGCGUGUAUGAAGAAGGCCUUCGGGUUGUAAAGUACGUUCAGCGGGGAGGAAGGGAGUAAGGUUAAUACCUUUGCUCAUUGACGUUACCCGCAGAAGAAGCACCGGCUAACUACGUG
rnacentral:rRNA from 1 species